GCUAGAGACUUAAAACAAGCUCACUUGGGAGGAAGUCCCACAUCUAUCCCUAUAUAUAUUACUGUUUUACUUGUGUGGUUUUUCUUUUGUGUGUUUGAUAAGUGUGUUUAAAAUUUUCAUGUGAUUCUCCACUUAAUCAAAGAAGAAAGAUGGCCAUCCAGCAAAGCUACAAGUGUUAAAAUUAUUCAACUCCAUCUAGCAACUCCAAGCUAAGUGUCUCUACAACCAUUGUAAAUAUAUAGUUUUCAUGUUUGUUUCUUCUAGACCUCUUCUUUCACCUUGCUCUCACACAAGAGACUGUGUGAAGUAAGUGUGGGGGGGAGAGUCUACUUAUCUCACAUGUUUUCUGUUUUGUUUACUUGUCAUAAGCAUUGCAUAUCCAUUUGCAUAGAAAAUCCAUAAAAAUUUGCAAAACUCCAAAAAUUACAAAAAAAAACAUUUAGUUAUAUCAUUUGCAUCUUUAGGUUUGAGUCUAGAUCAUAUAUAAUGCAUAGGUAAAAUCCCUACAACUCAUGCAAUGAACUCAUUGUUGAUACCCUUUUGAAUCAUAAUAAGUAGCUUGAGCUUAUUCUGAAUUUCUUGUAGACUUCGAGCCUUGAAAACUCCUCUUAAGACUCAUUGAAUCUUACUCUUUGAAACCAACUCCGAUCUUAAUUGACUUAAAUGAACUUAAUGCUUCUUGCUUAUGGUCUCUUGAGUACUAAAUCAUGGCUUUACACACACUUGAGCUUGUAUAAACCAUUUUACCAAUCUUUUUGACAACUCAAGUGGUAGUCCAUACCCUAAACCCUUCCCUUCUUUCAAACCAUCAUUAAUUGUUGAGUGAGGUCUUUUUGUGAAAGCUUGUCAUGUGCAAAAUCUUGAGAGUAUUAGGAGCGACAUUGAUUUGUUCUCAUCUCUUGCUAGCAUUAGGACCUCUUUUGGGCUAGCAUCUAGGAUGGUGGUUGGAAUGAUGUGCUUUAAUUAUUUUGAUCUUGGGGAUUGAAUUGGGAAAGAUUAUGUAAAGGAAAUGAAUCAAAAAGUGUGUCUAAAACAACUAGGAACAAAAAAAAAAGGAAGAUAGCUCAGAUUGUGUCAAUAAAAACCCCAAAAAGAAAAGAAGAAAAAAAAAAUAAGAGAAUGGGGAUAACAAAUUUUUGAGCUAAGAUACAUAGUUGUUAAGACAAAGAAAAGAAAAUAAAAGAGUGUUCAUUGGGUAAGAGAUGAAAAUGGGUGUAUAUUUGGGAUUUGAGAUGAAGAAAAGAAAGGGUAGAACUUAAAAAUUGUCUAGGAAAAGGGUACAAUGAUGAGAACCGAUUUAUGUAUGCAUUAAUUGCUCCUUUUCUUAGAUAAAUUUUGCAUAAUGAUCAAGCUCCUAUUCUUGAGUGUAAGUCACCAUUGCAAAAUGUAUUUGGACCCUUCUCAUUCUUCACAUUAAGCCAUUUUUUCUCACCAAACCAAAUGAUUUAGACCAAUUGGCAAUUUGCGAGAAUUCACUUAUGAUAUUUCUUAUUGAAUGUGAGAGUUGGUUGAUUUGAAGAUUCAUGAUAAUGAGUUAAAAGAGCAAAGGAAUUGAUAGGCCUAGAGAAGUUAGAGCUAAUAAAAACAUCUUGCUCUUGCUAUUUGGUAUGAUUUUGUAAGGAUAUCACAACAAUGGCAUUGAAGAGUUUCUUAAGGUCAUGAAUUUCCAUUUGUGUAUUGAAACAUCACUUCCUAUGUUCUUGAAAGUUUACUUAAGGACAAGUAAAGGACUAGUGUGGGGGAGUUGAUGUGUUGUGAUUUUGCAUAGUUUUAGCUUUGUUAUUUCAUAUAUAUUCAUGCAUUAACCUUACAUUUAUUUGCAUUUAGAGUCUAUUGCAUGUACAUUUGCAUCUUGUAGGUGUUGGAUGAAUUGUUUGGAGUUUUGGAGGUGAUUAGAGCACAAAAGGAGCUCUCGAGGAGUCUUGAACCGAACGUGUGAAAGACAAGCAUGGAUGAAGGUCUUAAAGAUAUCUUUUGAAACUUGUCUUUUGGGAAGACAUGGUAAAUUGAGUUAGCUUUACAAUGGAGGUGGUUUCAAGUCGUUUGGAGCUGUAUUGAGGGAUUUAUGAUCAAAAUACUACACACAUAUCAGUGUGUGCAACAUGGAGAAAGUGGAGAAAACUUUAAUGAGUGAGUUUUAUCUCUUUAAAGCUUGCAACAUGGGGGAUGGGUUGUCUAUCAUGAGUUUGGUGGCUCUUUUGGCCUAACUUUCUCUACCUUUUCCGAAGAGGCAAGACUACUUUGGCCAUAUGAAGGGGCAAAAGGUGUUCUAUAAUGGAAGAAAGUGGAGAAUAACUUUUAUGAGUGUGUUUUAUGCUUUAUGCUUUCACAUGAUGGAUGUGUUGUCAUCCUCCUUUACUUAGGCUAUAAAAGAGACUGCAAGGGGAAGGAGGAAGACAACACAUCCAUCAUGUGAAAGCAUAAAGCAUAAAACACACUCAUAAAAGUUAUUCUCCACUUUCUUCCAUUAUAGAACACCUUUUGCCCCUUCAUAUGGCCAAAGUAGUCUUGCCUCUUCAAAAAAGGUAGAGAAAGUUAGGCCAAAAGAGCCACCAAACUCAUGAUAGACAACCCAUCCCCCAUGUUGCAAGCUUUAAAGAGAUAAAACUCACUCAUUAAAGUUUUCUUCACUUUCUCCAUGUUGCACACACCUUUAGAAUACCAAAAAUAAGAAGAAUAAUGAAUAGUAAUGAGUUUUAUAGGUUUUAAGUGAAUAAAAAUAGUCUAAAGGCUUAAAAUUCGAAGGCUAUUGUUGAUGUUGCUAGGGUGGCCGCCAGGAAUGUCAUACUGAUAUGUGUGUAGCAUUUUGAUCAUAAAUCCCUCAAUACAGCUCCAAACGACUCGAAACCACCUCCAUUGUAAAGCUAACUCAAUUUACCAUGUCUUCCCAAAAGACAAGUUUCAAAAGAUAUCUUUAAGCCUUCAUCCAUCCUUGUCUUUCACACGUUCGGUUCAAGACUCCUCGAAAGCUCCUUUUGUGCUCUAAUCACCUCCAAAACUCCAAAAAAUUCAUCCAACACCUACAAGAUGCAAAUGUACAUGCAAUAGACUCUAAAUGCAAAUAAAUGUAAGGUUAAUGCAUGAAUAUAUAUGAAAUAACAAAGCUAAAACUAUGCAAAAUCACAACACAUCACUUUUGCUAUACCAAAGUGUGUUCCUUUAGAUUUACAAGUAACAAGAACAAUGAGUUGAUCUUGAUUGUGUUUUUUGGAUCUAUAUUUUAAAGGAUUUAAGCUAUAGUUUAUGUAUGAAAUUUAAUUUUCAGGGACUUCAAAUCAGAACUAACCAGCUUAAAAUCAAAAAUGUGUCUCAGAUCCCAGCCUCCAUGGAGGAAGAAGAUUACCCUGGAUUACGCCACUCAAUACUACAUGUCUCCCGACCUCAACCCCAGCUCUCCUGUCCACAUCACCCAUAACAGCAGCCUCCACAUCCACUUCCCCAACCCCCUUGCUUUUUGCUGGUAACAACAUCCACAUGUGUCCCUUGUCCACAACACCACCAUCCACUCCUCGCAAGUUCAAGACAACCACAUCCACACACCCCAUCUGUCCACAAUACCCAAGCAAUACACACAUAGUGAUCUUGCCCCUCACAUGUCUGGACAUCCACAAAACCAUAAUCUGUCAUUCUCACCAUGCACCUCAGCUAUCCUGAUGAUUAACAGUCUCUUUUACAUCAUGCUCUCUUUGGUAAUCUCUGUGUCCACAUCUACGCAAAACACUUUUUCAUGGAUCGAUUCGAGAUCUUGCAGUGGUUGAAUCUGAAUUCUAUUUAGCUGAUUGAGGGAGAGCUUGCUACUUUCAAGUCCAUGACUUGGUUUGCCAAACCCCAGGUCUGCUCCUUUUGCCCUUUAACAAAAACAAUGGUUAGCAGCUUUUCAAACUUGAUAACAACGAAACUGAACAGACACAGAACUCCAACAAACAGUUUGCACCCAUUUAUGUUUUUUUCCUUGUGUGUGUGUGAUGGUAAGUUAUCAGUGCUUUGACUUGUGCUAGGAGAGGGUGGUUGAAUGAUUACAUCUUUACUUCUCAGCCCCGUCUUCUUGGUCAAAGCAACAGGGUACGGUUUGCUUCUUACUCUAGAGAUCGUGAUCAUGGGACUGGCAGUUCUAUUCAGGAUCAACAGUGUAAAACAGCAGACAACAACGGUGGUGUUACAGAAAAUUGCGAUCAAGACAUGAAUGGUUGAUGUAAGAGAAAAGGCUGAUGGAGUAGGAAACUCAACUGAUUUAGACAUUUAUACCACAGCACAAACCAAAGACAAAAAACUGAUGGUAGUAAGAUGAAAUCUUCCUGAAAACAACAAACUGAAGGAUUCAACUCCAGAUACAGGUAAGGUCAAACAAACAGAUGGAGUUUGAUCCAGUUAAGCAGCAUAGGCAUUUUUGUCCCUGGAUCUGGUCGACGAGUAGAAAAGGCCCUGGAUGGAGGCAGACUCUAUCUGCAUUACAACGCCAUAAGGGAUCUUGUCAGACUCCACUAUCACCCUCUUCCGUUCUCAAGGUAGAUGAUCCUUUAAUAUCUGUUCGGAACUUUAUGCAUGACUUCUCGCUGAGGCACAGAAGAUUUUGUUACUGAAAAGACUUGAGUGCAAUGUAAAACUUGAAAAACUGUUAACAUUCAUGUUGUUCUGAGUUAUUUGUUGAUUUCUCAAAAAUUAAAACCUAUGUUGUCUAACCCAUUUGAAAUUCCUGGAGCUUAAAAUCAUGUGUAGAUACACUCAUAACUUCAUUCGUAACAUUGCUCUUGUAA